rnacentral:lncRNA from 1 species
GCUGAUUUGAUUCCCAAGAUUCAGGAAGCCAUCAAUUUUGGACUGCAGGUAUUAGACAGUGCCUUUGAACAACUGGACAUAAAAGCAGGCAACUCAGACUCUGAAGAAGAAACCAAUGAAAGGCUGGAACUAAUCCUGGAGCCUAAGGAUCUUUAUGUUGAUCGACCUUUGCCAUACUUAAUUGGCUCCCAACUGUUUAUGGAACAAGAUGAUGUUGGGCUUGCCGAUCCUUCCAGUGAAGAAGGUUCAGUGGAUGGUGAUCACGGAAGCCUGAUAGACAGUGAAGGAAAAGAAGAAGAGGAACUGGAAGAAUUUGGGACUAUAAGUGAUGAAGAUCAGAAACAGAGAACAGUACUAAUGAGUGAUGAAGAUGAAGAUCUUUUUGGUGACUAUGAAAAGGGGGAAGAGGAAGACGGUGACCUAGAAGAAAAUACAACAUUGAAAAGACCUACAUCGUUUACUGAUGAGCUUACAGCCCGAAUCAAAAGGGAAGAGCUAAGUAAAGAACAGAAAGAACA